rnacentral:rRNA from 1 species
AAUGAACGCUGGCGGCGUGCUUAACACAUGCAAGUCGUGCGCGAAAGUGACUUCGGUCGCAAGUAGAGCGGCGAACGGGUGCGUAACACGUGGAUAACCUGCCCAGGAGAGGGGGAUAACCCGGGGAAACUCGAGCUAAUACCCCGUACGUUCCUUUGGUUUCGGUCGAAGGAAGAAAGAUGGCCUCUGUAUAUGCUGUCGCUCCUGGAGGGGUCCGCGGUUGAUUAGCUUGUUGGUGGGGUAAUGGCCUACCAAGGCUGCGAUCAAUAGCCGGCCUGAGAGGGUGAUCGACCACACUGGGACUGAGACACGGCCCAGACUCCUACGGGAGGCAGCAGUGGGGAAUAUUGGACAAUGGGCGAAAGCCUGAUCCAGCAACGCCGCGUGGAGGAUGACGGUCCUCGGAUUGUAAACUCCUGUCAGUUGGGACGAAAAGAUCUUGGGUUAAUAGCCCUUGAUCCAUGACGGUACCAGCAGAGGAAGCCCCGGCUAACUCCGUGCCAGCAGCCGCGGUAAUACGGAGGGGGCGAGCGUUAUUCGGAAUUAUUGGGCGUAAAGGGCGCGUAGGCGGCUUGAUAAGUUGUAGGUGAAAGCCCUCGGCUCAACCGAGGAACUGCCUACAAUACUGUCUGGC